rnacentral:rRNA from 1 species
GUCUACAGCCAUACCACCCUGAAUGGGCCCAAUCUCGUCUGAUCUCGGACACUAAGCAGGGUCAGGCCUGGUUAGUACUUGGAAGGGAGACUGCCUGGGAACACCUGGUGCUGUAGGCU